rnacentral:lncRNA from 1 species
GUUUUCUAUAACCACCACUAGGCCUAAUUUGGCUUAUACUAGAUUCAUGUCUAAUUUGGAAAAAAAAAAGCAUUGGGCUAGGUUAAACUGGCUUCUAAGAUACAUAGUCGGGACUCUAAAUAUGGGAUUGGUGCCUGAAAAGAGAUCCAAUCAGCUCACUUUAAAGGAGUAUGUAGACUUAGACUUUGCCGGUGAUAAAGACCAAAGAAAGUCUACUACCACCUAUUUCUUCACACUAGGUAACAAUUGCAUCACAUGGAACUCACAACUUCAAAUCACAUUAUCUAGCAUGUAGGCUAAAUAUGGGAAAAUAAUUGAAUCUGUAAAAGAGAGUAUCGAGUUAAAGGGAUAAAGGGAAUUUUGGGAAAAUUUAAUUUUUUACAAGAACCACCCAUUAUUUUCAUUGAUAGUCAAAGUACUUUGUCAUUAUGUAAAAAUCUAGUUUAUCAUGAGAGAUCUAAGCACAUUGAGGUGAAGUAUCACUUCAUUCGAGAGAAAGUUGCAUGUGGUAAGGUUAUGCUUGAAAAAAAUUCACAUCGAUGUGAAUCCAUUUGAGAUGAGAACCAAAAUUCUAACUGUACGUAAGUUUAAAUCAUGUUUGUCUUUACUAAAUAUUGAUACGGAUUAAUCUUUUGCAGGUACCAAAGGCAAUGAUGUAGGGUAAAAUACCGUCACGUGCAUGUAGCAACUAGACAGAGUUAAGGGUUUGUGAAAACAAGGUGAAAAUUGUAAAAUGUUUUAUUAAAAUUCCCCAAAGUGCACUUUUGUAAGUAAAAAAACGUUUCUUAAGUCUCUCGUCCACUUGGCAUUCACUGGUUGGCUGAUUGCUUUUUACUUGAAUUUGUGAUUGUUGAAGAUUGGGCUUGACCGUUGAUCUAAUUCAAUGAUUGUGAUUUAGAUCCCAUAUUAUUUUUUCACCUU